rnacentral:lncRNA from 1 species
GAGAAGGAAUGACGCUUUCAGAGGAGAAAGUCCAUGGGAAGAUACCGUCUGUGAUCCAUGGAUCUCCGAUCGGGAAACCGUAUCCAAGCUCCGUGGCUAGUCUGCACUCUUUGGACUUUUCAAACUUAGCGAAAUGAAACAUCUGAGUAACUAAAGGAAGGGAAAUCAACCAAGACCCCUUUAGUAGCAGCGAGCGUGUCACACCCCCAAAAUCCACACGCGGAGUAUCA